rnacentral:lncRNA from 1 species
UGCAAUCCAAGCUGAGAAAGGCCAACUCUGCAUAUUCGGCUUCUUAGCUGCUUCUACGGCUCCACACUUGUGGUACAAAAUACAUAGGUGCAAAGAUACCAAGUGCAGCAACUUAAGCCAUUUGCAUAAGUCUCAAAUCAAUCAAUUAAGCACCUGAAACUCACCCGAGGCCCCCGGGACCUCAACCAAAUAUACCAGCCCAUCCUAAAACAUCAUACAAACUUAGUCGAGCUCUCGAAUCACAUUAAACAACGCUAAAGUCAUGAAUCACCCUCCAAUUCAAACUUUAAUAACUUGAAACUUCAAAAUUAUACAACCGAUGCCGAAAUCAACCAAACCAUGUCCGAUUGACC